rnacentral:lncRNA from 1 species
UGUAAAGGAAAUGAGUGGUUCUAGAGCUUAACCUUUCCAUGGUGCCUCGUACUCAGUUGCAAGAUUUUAUCAGAUUGAAACUUCAUCAGUGUUUCAUUCGGCUCUGGCCCAGGAAUUCCAUUCUCUUGGUUAAGUAAGGGUACCUGAAAAGUAUAAUAAAGUCCACAAAAAUUAAAUGAAACUCUGCAGCAAGAAUGUGUCAAAUGAAAUGAUAUUAAACAAAGGAAAACAAAAGAAUCUAUAAUCAAGCUCAACGUUAAUAAGGAUGCUAAACUUGCACAAACAAUUUGUUAGAUGGAGAGCAUUUAAGGUAAAUUUUAACCUUGCAUCGAGGGCAUAACUGAAUGCUUAUGAAAGUUAUGUUGUUGAGGUCCUCAGCAAAUCGUUCACCCCCAUCAAUAAAUAUGUUGUAAAAAUCAAGUGUUUUUUUAUACUAUAGAUUACAGCUUAUAUAUGAGACAAAAAGUCCAAAGAUAAUAAGGCAAUAUUAAGAAAUCAGAUUAGGAUAUACAUAGCCCUAAAAAAAAGUUAGACCUGGGGCGGAAAUGAUUAACAGGUAAAGGCUCCUCCAGCUGGCUAUUAAGUUCAUCUAAAGAUCCCUGCAUAUGAUACAUACUCAUAUUAGGCACCAGUUCUGCACUUAUAUACAAAGAUUAUAUAAAUCAUAAAUGUUUAAAUAACAUGGGAAAGCAUUAGAAACUGAUACUGGUCGGUAAACACAAGAUUGUAUCCGGUUGUAGGAGCAUAAUCCGGGAGAGGCCUGGAGUCAGACUUUGUAUGAGCAGGAAUCUUUAUUUCUCUUUCCUUCAAACAGAUGAAAUAGUUUACUUUGUGCCUAUAACAGGAGAAGCAUUACCAUAUCGUGCAGAUGGAUAGAUGCUGAGACUCAAAGGGCGAUAAAGUGCGCCGGCUUAGCCGAUCAAAAGGAGCACCCACUAUGUUGAUUCUAAUUACAGUUUUGGAACUGAUUAACAUCUAUAUAUGCAGCUCAAUGAACAUGUAUGUGCAAUAACUACGGAGGGAUUUGUGGGGGCGUAAUUACAGUAAAAGCAAUUAAAUAUUCAUAUAUGUACUACUACAACUAUUACAUCCACAUUUUGUCAAAAAAAAAAAACUAUUACAUCCACAUUAACAUCAAUAAAGCCUCUUCAUCAAUUUCAACACAACUCCAAAGAUAGCAGAUGACCAUGAUUGUCCAAAACCGGUUCAAUGACAUAAAGACACAGAAAGCAAAAAAAAAAAUGUCACUCUAUAAACUACUGGCUUGAGUUAUAUUACUAUGUUAUUUUAUUAAAGAAACCAGGAAGUUCUGCUACAAUUUACAAAAACAAAACUAUUAACUUGACCAAAACCCCUGCUUUACAAUAAAAAGUUCAAAUCCCCUGCUUUAUAUAAACAAAAAUAUUCAAAACCCCUGCUUUACAAUAAAAAGUUCAAAGCCUACUCUUAUAUUAAACUAAAAUAUUCAAAACCAAAAGGAAAAUACACCAAAUAUUCUACUUGAUAACAAACAUUCGGAACGUAGUUGAAACCCAGCUUUUUAUUAUUGUAUUUCCUAGCAAAGGAAUAUAACAAAUAAUGACAGUAGGGCUCGUAAAAACAUAAACAUAAAACUUUUACAUACCAGUGUGUAAUAUUAUGAUCAGGUGAAAGCUUGUAUAUAACUUUUCUUGUAUGGAAACAAUUUGUUCCAGUAGGCCAGUACAUUGGUCCUUGAAUUCCUGCCAGUCCAUGCCCUAUAAACUAUACAGUUUAUGCAAUAAUAACUCAUAAUUUAAGUCCAGGUGAAGGCAUGUGUAUAUGAGAGAGAGCUUAUAUUCUUGUAAUUGACCAUAAUGCAAAUAAUGCAAAAAGU